rnacentral:pre_miRNA from 1 species
UGUAAACAUCCUACACUCUCAGCUGUGGGGAAAAAAAGCUGGGAGAAGGCUGUUUACUCU